UACGGGGGGUGCGAGCGUUGUCCGGAAUCACUGGGCGUAAAGGGCGCGUAGGUGGUUUGAUAAGGGUGUGGUGAAAGUCCGGGGCUCAACCCCGGAUCUGCCGUGCCGACUGUCAAACUCGAGGGCUGUAGAGGCAGACGGAAUUCCGGGUGUAGCGGUGGAAUGCGCAGAUAUCAGGAGGAACACCAACGGCGAAGGCAGCUCGCUGGGACGGUACUGACGCUGAGACGCGAAAGCGUGGGGAGCAAACAGG
rnacentral:rRNA from 1 species